rnacentral:rRNA from 1 species
AUGAAUUUCUUGGCCUGGAAUUGUCGAGGACUGGGGUUGGACUCGACAGUGGGCGAACUACGAGACCUAAUACGGUCCUACAACCCAGCGGUGGUAUUCUUGUGUGAAACAAAAAAGAAAGUACGGGCUAUGGAGAAACUGAAGUGGAGUAUGGGAUUCCGGAGCGGGAUGGCAGUUGAUUGUGUAGGAAGGAGUGGUGGACUAGCUCUCUGGUGGAGGGAUAAUGUG